GGGCGGUUAGCUCAGCGGAAGAGCAUCUCGUUUACACCGAGGGGGUCGUAGGUUCAAAUCCUACACCGCCCACCA
rnacentral:tRNA from 1 species